GUCCGUAGCCGGAUCUAUAAGUCUGUUUUCAAAUUCUUUUGCUCAACGAAAGGCAGGGAAUAGAUACUGUAGAUCUAGAGGUUUUUAGAGGUUAGUGGAAUUCCCAGUGGAGCGGUGAAAUGCGUUGAUAUUGGGAGGAACGCCGAAAGCGAAAGCAGCUAACUAUAAUUCACCUGACGGUCAGGGACGAAAGCUUGGGGAGCAAACGGGAUUAGAUACCCCGGUAGUCCAAGCCGUAAAUUAUGUUCGCUAGGUGUCUUUGCGUAUGCAGGGGUGCCGUACCUAACGGAUUAAGCGAACCGCCUGGGUAGUAUAUUCGCAAGAAUGAAACUCAAAGGGAUAGGCGGGGGAACACACAAGCAGUGGAUGAUCUAGAUUAAUUGGAUACAAAGCCAUAAAUCUUACCUAGAAUUGACAUGCAAUGUGUCAUAUAUGAAAGUAUAUUAGUUAGCAAUAACGCUUUGCACAGGUGGUGCAUGGUCGUCGUCAGUUCGUGCCGCAAGGUGUUUAGUUAAUUCUAGGAACGAACGCAACCCUCGUUGUUAGUUAUUAUGUCUAACAAGACUGCCUUGGCAACAAGGAGGAAGGAGAGGAUGACGUCAGAUCCUCAUGCCCCUUACAUCUAGGGCUUCAUAGGUCAUACAAUGGGUAGUACAG
rnacentral:rRNA from 1 species